rnacentral:lncRNA from 1 species
UUUAUUUAGGUUUGGAGAAGAGGGGUUGGAUGAUAUUUUUUCAGAAUUUUUGGGGGCUAGAAAGCAUGAAAAAUGAGGGGGAAUAGUGCAUCUAUUUAUAGGGAAAGCAAGUGGGAAAAUGGGGGGAACCAAAUACCAUUUGUGCAAAAAAAAGGCUUAUUUUUUGUGUCUGCGCAUGGGAAAUCGAUUUACCUAAUUG